GCCUUGGGGCCUCUGAGCCCCAAAUCACGGGGUAAUCCGUCCCAUGCUGCAUCCGGACUAGAGGGCGCCCUGACGGCUGGAGGGAGGUCCACCCCGCGGAUUGCCACAACUCUCCCAAUACACAAGAGUGCAAUCGCGGCUAGUCAGAUGUAAACUGGGAAUAUCCUUUCACCACACCGAUGCUCCUCCUCUGCCCUCAAUGACAACUCCCUCCGAUAGUGCCUCUCUCCCAACAACAAACUGUCGCACUUUGCAGCCUUUGCAUCGCAGGAAACCAACAUGGCAGACGGCGCCGUCCAAUCUGAAGGAAGAAGAGGCGGAAUUGUGAUCAAAGAUGAUUGGCCAGGCUACAGUUUAGACCUCUUCAGCUACCCAGCUCACUACUCUGGCGAUUUAGACUGUGUCUACAUUCCACAUGGCGUGAUAAUGGACAGGACAGAACGUCUCGCUCGAAAUAUCAUGGAUGACCUGGGAGACCAUGACAUAGUGGUUCUGUGUGUGCUGAAAGGAGGCUACCAGUUCUGUGCAGACCUGGUGGAUAGGAUCAAAGCUCUCAGUCGCAACUCCAACCACACCAUCCCCAUGAGGGUUCACUUCAUCCGACUCAAGAGCUACGUGAAUGACCAGUCGACUGAGGAUCUCCACAUUCUUGGAGCCGAGGAUCUGUCUUCUUUAAAUGGCAAGAACGUACUGAUUGUGGAGGCCAUUGUAGACACAGGGAAGACAAUGAAGACUCUCCUGAAGCACGUGGAAGCUGCUGGGCCCAAAAUGAUCAAAGUAGCAGGUCUAGACGGAGAAGGAGAGAGUGAGGGACACCGAUUCCACAUGCUAUUAUUAAAAUGAAUAUUGUUUUCAUGAAGGCCGACACGACAGAUGUAGGCUUUGAGAUACCCAAUCGUUUUGUGGUCGGAUAUGCCUUAGACUACAAUGAGUACUUUAGAGACCUCAAUCAUAUCUGUGUGAUCAGUGAAAACGGGAAGAUGAAAUAUAAGAUCUAAAUGGAGGACUGCAGAAGAGGCUACUGUCACAUGGUGUGUUUCAGCAGCAAACCUGAACAUUUCCCAUGGCGACACAGUCACUUAAAACUGCUGUCAUGACGUUUAAUCUCAAACAUCCCUGUUCCUUUAUGGCAUUCGCUUGCAUACCUUCUAUCAAACAUGUAUCUCCUUUAGGAAUAAACACGUUUAACAUAUGGAUCUAGCAAAACAUUUAAUAUUUAACAGUGUUUGAAUGUUACAGCUGAGUUGAAUUAGCUGAAUUAGAGUUUGGGUAGUUCUGUUUUGAUUCAGUUUUAUUGAAAAGUAACAGUCAUCUCAAUUUUAAUGCUUUUCUAUGCAAAGUAAAGGACUCGAUAAUCACCACAUGAAUUUGAUGUAUUUUGUCAUAAGGUAGUGACACUAAACUCGAUGUCAGCUGUAUUUAAGAUGAAAGGGAGUUACACUGUUGUAUUUGGAAAUUUCUGUGCCUUUUGGUAAUAGAAUGAUAGACCAUCUUCAUCUCCACUUGUCUUUUUAAUGUUCCAUAUAGAUAUUUGUCUUGCUGUCGCCUUUGUUGCUCAGGGGCAAACAAAAAGAUUUGUGAACACUAAGUGUACUAACUACCUCUUGUCAAUGUAGUGGGGUUCUUGUAUCAUUCCUGUAUUUUCUUUUAUAUUAUUUAACACACAGUAAAGUAUGUGAUUCUGAGCAUUUCAGCUA